GGUCUUUAACCCUCAGUUCAUGUAGAGUUCCAGGUUCCUUUGUUCAGAUGCAGAACUGUUUGGGAUGUUCUUUAACUUCUAUCUGCCCGAAACCGUCAGAUUUGUUUACCUGCUUCGACACUUGGUGCAUCCAUGGAGUUUCGUCUUUGUGUGGAAAUUACUCAGCCUCGGACCAAGUUCACGUCUCAUCUUUCAAGUUGACUGAUGAGUUGGUGAGGACUGUCUAUGUCUGCUGUAUUCCUCAGAGCAUCAUCUGACGUGUCCUUGAGGAAGACGUGGUUGAAACAUGUCAGGAAGGAAUUUGACCAUGCUGAGAACGGACAGAAGAGCUGACUCCUGGAAACGGCAGCACGUCGGCGAGGGAGGAGGAACUUUAGUUGCUGAGUGGAUGUGUACUAACAAUACAGAAGUCUGCUGUUUUCUUUACUUGCCUUUGUUUUACAU
ensembl:lncRNA